AUAUAUAUAUAUUUAAUAAUUAUAUAUAUAUAUAUAUUCACAAAAGUUUGAAUAAAAGAUAUUUACAUUACAGUUGCCCUUUACAUUCUGGCACUGUUAAAAUGUUUGCUUCUUACAAGAUGCUAUCCAACAAUUCAUAAGUUAAAUACAAGUUUUGAUAUGAUAUAUAUGUAAAAAUAAGCAACAAUUUAAUUCAUUAAUGUUUCAUGCUUUCAACUUUCAUAAGUAAUCAAUUCAAAAUUGAUUAUUCCAAAAAAGUAUUAAUUGAGUGCAAUACUAUAAAACACCAUAUAUGUUUGAAGUAUUUCAUGUCAUAAAUGUCCUUAUAUAAGUAGUUAUAAUUUUUGUUCUCUUGAAAGAAUUAUUAUGCAAUGUGAUACUAAUGCUUUUUACAUUCAAUCAAAAUAGUGAAGAUGAUUAAUGUAUGCACGAGAUAGACUGGUUUAAAGACUGUACAACUUUUUUACAUCAAUAUCAAAAGCCAUUAUAGGCACAUAUAUUAUUUUUAAUAUAAUUUAUAAGGCAAACAACUCUAUAAUAACCAAUAUAACAAUUUUCCAUAAACCACAGAUUUUAUAGAACCAAACUAUUUCUUUAUUUUUAUCACUAUAAUAAUAAAACAUGAAUAAUUGUAUCUAUGGGUACAUUGAUAGAAAUAAUCUAGAUUUAUCAUUUUUAUGAGAUAUUAUUGUGAUCCUAGAUGGAUAAUUUGUUAAUAUUAGCUGUUGACUUAAAACAUUUUUGUGACAUAAGAUUUAUGUGUUUUAAAAUAAAGUAUUUAGGAAAAAUUGAUGUUUAAUACAAUAAAUCUUUUUCAUUAUAUAAAAUUGACCUUAUUAUGUGUUAUCAUAUGCUGAUGAAUAAAAAAGUUAUUUUAUGUACAUCUUGGCACAGCAUUUAUGCUAUGUAAUAAUUGUUUUCUAACAAUUAUAAUAAAAAUACAAUAGUAAAUAAAAUUAUAUAUUUUAUAAAUAUAAAAGAAUGAUAAUGUUAAAAUUGAGUAUUCAUAUAAUGUUACAUAAUUUACAAAGUGUUGAAUAACAAGUGAAAUGGCAUAAUAUAUCUAUUAUAUUUUAUAAAAAAAUUAACGUUUUUUUAACAUUAUCGUUAGUACUUUCAAAAUGCAAUAAUGAGAUAUCACCAAAGGCAGGACAGUUUCUCUUCGUAUCUAAAAAAAAAGCAGAAAACAAAGUUUUAUCUUAUUAGUAAUAAAAAUAUGCAAUGUAAAUAUCAAAACAUUUAUUAUACAGGAAGAUAUAUCUGAAAUUAAUAUAUCGAUGUUCCUUAAAUAGAGUAUCGAAAAGAUGCUAAAUAUUUAUCUUACUAUGUAUUGUAACAAAAAUAAAAACUAUGCAAUAUUA